rnacentral:rRNA from 1 species
AUUGAACGCUGGCGGCAGGCCUAACACAUGCAAGUCGAACGGUAACAGGAAGAAGCUUGCUUCUUUGCUGACGAGUGGCGGACGGGUGAGUCAUGUCUGGGAAACUGCCUGAUGGAGGGGGAUAACUACUGGAAACGGUAGCUAAUACCGCAUAACGUCGCAAGCCCAAAGAGGGGGACCUUCGGGCCCCUUGCCAUCGGAUGUGCCCAGAUGGGAUUGGCCUGUAGGGGGGGUAACGGCUCACCCAGGCGAAGAUCCCUAGCUGGUCUGAGAGGAAGACCAGCAACACGGGAACUGAGACACGGUCCAGACUCCUACGGGAGGCGGCAGUGGGGAAUAUUGCACAAUGGGCGCAAGCCUGGUGCAGCCAUGCCGCGUGUAUGAAGAAGGCCUUCGGGUUGUAAAGUACGUUCAGCGGGGAGGAAGGGAGUAAAGUUAAUACCUUUGCUCAUUGACGUUACCCGCAGAAGAAGCACCGGCUAACUCCGUG